rnacentral:lncRNA from 1 species
GGAACUCUGGUCAGAGCUCGAUGCUUCCGCCGCCGACGACUUCUGGGGUUUCUAUUCCACCUCCAAACUCCAUCCCACCAACCAAGGUAUGUACUCUCCUAUUAAUCAUAAACAAAAAUACAAAAUCAUUCAAAAACACAAACAUAUAGUUUUUUCUAACCUUUUUAGCAAAAAGGUAAAAUAAUAUUUCUGGAACUUACGGAAGAUGAUAAAAAAAAAAUAUUUGUGGUUUUGGUAAUGUAAUUUAUCAGGAUUAUUUAAUUAUCUGUGUGGGGUUAAAAUUGUAAAUUUUGAACUUUGGGGAAUCCGGUGAAAAUUUUGAAGUUAACGUGAAAGAGGAGGCAGUGAAGAAGGAGCAGGCAACAGAGCCGGGGAAACGGAGGAAGAGGAAGAAUGUUUAUAGAGGGAUACGUAAGCGUCCAUGGGGAAAAUGGGCGGCUGAGAUUCGAGAUCCACGAAAAGGUGUUAGAGUUUGGCUUGGUACGUUCAACACGGCGGAGGAAGCUGCCAUGGCUUAUGAUGUUGCGGCCAAGCAGAUCCGUGGUGAUAAAGCCAAGCUCAACUUCCCAGAUCUGCACCAUCCUCCUCCUCCUAAUUAUACUCCUCCGCCGUCAUCGCCACGAUCAACCGAUCAGCCUCCGGCGAAGAAGGUCUGCGUUGUCUCUCAGAGUGAGAGCGAGUUAAGUCAGCCGAGUUUCCCGGUGGAGUGUAUAGGAUUUGGAAAUGGGGACGAGUUUCAGAAC